ACUUACUUGGCCUAGGUAAAUUAGGAUAAUCCAGAAGAUUCUUGAGAGUGAUGAUCAGUCCUGAGACUUUGUUCACCUGAAGAAAGAAAAAUUACCCACUCCUUAAAGAAGCAAAAAACCCUCCUCCUAAUACUGGAACAGGUGACCUGCUUCAAAUUACAAUGACAACGGAAUCCCAAGCAGUGAAAGUGGAGACGGCACCUGGAGGAAAACAGGAUCAGCAGGCUGAGUUGAGAACAGCAUGAAGGUUUAAGGGGACACACAAUCACCACCGCUCAUAGUAACUCAGAACAGUAAGCCGUGUGUCAGGGAGCU